GACGUGAUGGUGGUUGGAGAGCCGUCCCUGAUGGGCGGUGAAUUUGGUGAUGAAGAUGAGCGACUUAUCACACGCUUGGAGAACACCCAGUACGACACGGCCAACGUGGAGGACAGCGGUAGUGGCGGAGGUCCCCAAGGGGCAGGGCCAGGAGGACCUGGACCUGGAGGACCCGGACCUGCCGGACCUACGCCAUUCAAUAACUCGCCGAUGACCACUGGCCCCGGAGGUCCCUGGCCCGACCCCGCGCGACAACCCCAGGACGCUGACAAGAAGAGUCCAGCAAUCAGUCAGUAGCCCAGAUGUUAAAAACACUUUAGAUUCUCUUUUUUUACGAAGUAGCACCCCCUCCCCCUCCCCCAUAUAAGCGGAAAAGGUAUCUUCAGGAAUUGGAGAGUAGCCAUUAUAGGUAGCCUCAAUGGGAAGGCUCACAACUGGUGUAGCGAAGAUAUUUUGGUAGUAAGAGUGGUGGACUUGAAGGGGGGCAACAAGUAUUACAAAUGGGAAAAGUUGGCAGUGCAUCAUUGAAGCUUAUUUAUUCAAUUUGGAAUUUCAAUGCUCUCUUUGAUUUUCAUUAGUAGAUAGCUGACCAAAUAAUUUUUUUUAUAGUUUGUUAUGUAAGACAACUUUGAUACUGGGCUGCCUUUGUGAUUUGGGGUUUUGAGGGUGAGUUAUCUAUUUGGAGUUUUAAUUUUAAUUCUCUUGUAAACUGUGAACUCUGAAAGACUGAAGUGAUAGUACCCAGCCAGUCAUGGAGUGGCACACAAUCUUCCCUGGGGGACAAAGCUCAGAUCAGACUGUAAAAAAAAUAAUAAUAAUUACACUUCCAAAUGAAGCUGUAAGGUUAAGGUUUAAAGGACAACAGUCUUCAUGUACCCAGGUACUUGUGUUUCUUACCAGUUUUCAUACCUACAGUGGUGCACAUGCUGUAAAUGCUUUGUAACUUUUUAUAUUAUUUUAACAAAAAAUCAAUAGGGACCAAUGUUUUGGUCAAAGUUACAAGGUUAUUACAUUCUUUUCAGUUGUAUAACCAUUUUUGCAAAAUAGGUAUACAAGGCCCUGAGUAUUUUGAUAUGGUUUCAUGAAGAUGAAUGAUACUUAGACCUUCAAUUAUUGUGCUUAUCAUGAGAGAUGGUAGUUGUUCCUUUAUAACGUUUUCAUGAUUGAAUGUUUGAAGUGCAUGUUAAUCCCUGUUAAGUAUUUAUUAUACUUGGGCAUGGAUGUGAGGAGGAUCUUAGAGAGAGUGUUUCAACAAGUGAACCUUUAUGUUGUAUGUGUAUAUUUGUAGUGAUAUAACUUUUAAGUAUGGUACUUGGCCUACACUAGCAAUAUUUCAGGGUAUGGGUUAUGUCCCAUGCAUAUUCAUUAUUUGGUAGUGGUAUUUCUUGCAUAAAUUAGGGUGCAUACUUAUUUAUUUGUUUGAGGUAAUAUCUUGUGUGCAUUUUAUUAUAUAUGAAAGAAACUUUUUUUUAUAACUAUUCAUUGUUCAAGUGAGAGAACUAAGCAUGUCCCAUUGUAGGUAGACAAGGCUGGUCUCUCAAGUGUUUCAUAAUGUUUCCAAAGGUUCACUGAUUGUUAUGUGAAAUAUCUCGUCUGAGAAAAUUGUUUAUAUAAUUUUGUAUAUGAUGGCUUUCGUUGGUCUGACCUUGAUCAUUCAUUUAGGGUUCUAUUUUUUGCUCAUACUAUACUGAAACUCAAAGGCAUUUCAUUAGUUUUUAUACCAUAAGGACUGACUUCAUAUUAAUAUUAUAUGGUAGACUGGCAGGGUGUAUGAAGUUGUUAUCCUACUUUUUUCAUGAUUUCAUGGAAACAGUUACUUGUAUCUUUGUACAAAUUGCCCAAGGAGUAGUAUUGUCAUCUCAUUCAGUUUCUUUCAAAUCAAAAUGUAAGCAAUAUGCAAGGAGGUUUGCAAAGAGAGAGCUUUUCAGUUUUUAUUUCCUUAACUGUGGUUUAUAUUUUUUAUAUAACCCAAAUAUCUUUUAAAAUUGUACUAAAUUGAGUUUUAAACUUGUACACUUUAUUAAUUACUCUUGGAAUUGAUUCUACUCUCUGUGCAAAGUCUCUGUAAUGUUCAUCCUCUCAGACACAGCUUAGUUUUCUUGGUAUCAGCACCCUUGUUAUUGUUGAAAUAUCCCUGCAUAUUGAUUGGUUGAGAUGCCUGCUUGAUAAACAUUCCACCGAAUAAUCCAGAGUUUAACCAAAAAAUGUGAUUAAUGAUUUUGUAUCUAAGGUUUUCAAUAAGGAAUAUGUUGUAUAGUGAGAUAUUUCUUACUGAAGAAGCAUGUGAUUGACACUCCUUUGUAAUGAUACAGAAUACAUGUAUUGCCUACCAAGAAAACAGAAAAUUUAAGAAUCUCACAGGCUACAGUCUGCAGUCCAUAUCAAGGGGAUGAGUCUAGGCUCACAACCUCCAUAUACUAUUUUUUCUGUUGUUAAAAAAGGGAACAUUACUAUCUAAUUUGGAGAUUUGUAAGAGCCAAGCUUGAACCUUGCAUAUCAACACUUCUCCCCAAGAACUUUCUUGUGUUUACCUCUCAUGUAAAGUGUACAAAUCUUUGUUUGGAUGUGAUUGGUCGCCAAGAUUUCCCAAAGAGGAAGCUACUAUUUCUUGUCUUCUAGAGUGAGUGAUGAUAAUAAAUAUUUUUAAUCUAA